rnacentral:rRNA from 1 species
GACGAACGCUGGCGGCGGGCCUAACACAUGCAAGUCGAACGGAAAGGCCCUGCGAUCGUGGGCUGCCCGAGGGGCGAACGGGUACGUAACACGUGAGCAACCGGCCCUCGAUUUUGGGAUAACUUCAGGAAACUGGGGCAAACACCGGACAGGAGCUCCUGCUGCAUGGCAGGGGUUGGACAGCUUCGGUGGCUGGGGAUGGACCCGCGGCUUAUCAGCUUGUUGGUGGGGUAGUGGCUGACCAAGGCUUGGACGGGUAGCCGGCCUGAGAGGGUGACCGGCCACCUUGCGCCUGCGAUACGGCCCAGAGUCCUACGGGAGGCAGCAGUGGGGAGUAUUGCCCAAUGGGCCGGAGCCUGAUGCAGCAACGCCGCGGGCGGGAUGACGGCCUGCGGGUUGUAAACCGCUUUCGCCUAUGACGAAGCGUGAGUGACGGUAAUGGGUGAAGAAGCACCGGCUAACUACGUG